CACCUGCCAGUGAGCCUCUGUGGCCGGUGGGCCCUCGACUGUCUGUGUCUGUCUGCCUGUCUCUGUCUCUCUGUGUCUCUGCCUCCCUGUCUGUGUCCGUCUCUCUGUGUCUCUCUGUCCCUCUCUCUCCCUGCCAGCCCUCUUGGCGUCCACCCUCUCUCUGUUUGUCUCUCUCUGUCUCUCUCUCUCUGUGUCUCUGUCUCCCUGUGUCUGUCUCUGUCUGCCCCUGUGUCUGUCUGUCUCUCUGUCUCUGUCUCUCUCUGUCUGUCCCUGUAUCUCUGUCUCUCUGUCUGUCUGCCUGUGUCUCUCUGUCCCUCUCUCUCCCCCAGCCCUCUUGGCGUCCACUUCCUCCCUGUCUCUGUCUGUCUCUCUCUGUGUCUGUCUGUCCCUGAAUCUCUGUGUCUCUGUCCCUGUGUCUCUGUCUGUGUCUCUCUCUCUGUCUCUCUGUGUCUGUCUGUCUGCCCCUGUAUCUCUGUGUCUCUCUCUGUCUCUGUCUGUCUGUCUGUGUCUCUGUCCCUCUCUCUCCGUGUCUCUCUCUGUCUCUGUCUGUCUGUCUCCCCCCAAGCCCUCUCAGCGUUCCCCCACCCCCGGGGCUCCCAGGGUGAGCUGACGCGCUCAGAUCCACCCUCUGCACGUUCUCUUCAGGGACCAACACACUGUCCCCAUGGAAACCAAACAGACGGGAGGAAGCCCGCUCUGGCCCCCCUCAGCCCUGCCCUGCUUCCCNNNNNNNNNNNNNNNNNNNNNNNNNNNNNNNNNNNNNNNNNNUCUCUCCCCCCCAGUCUCUGUCUCUCUAUCUCUGUCUCCCUCUCUCUCUGUCUCUCACGCAUUUCCCUCCAUUCCCCACCCCCAGGCCCAGCCCCCUUCAUCGAGGGCUCCCCAGGACUCUCAGGUGCCUUAGGAUGGGAUCUCACUUCCAUCCCAGCCCCUGGCCCUGAUUCAUUUGACUUUGGGCGUCUUCACCCUGUCGUCAGCAAAGGGAGGCGGCAAGGAGGCUGGCAGAGGGCCGGCGUGGAGGCUGGCAGAGGGCCGCAGGGCCCCAGGAGAGAAUGGGGGAAGCGCUCCUCUCGGGCUGCUGGGGUGAGUGCUUCGGGGUCAUCGCUGACAGUAUUAGCACCAGAGGUCUUUGUGCAAGACGGUGACCCCCUCUGGAUGAAAUACGUCCCCUGGGGAUCAUCUCUGCUCUUUCCUCCCAAAUCAGUGACCGCCCAGAGCCCGCUUCCCCCGGCUCUCUCUAGCUUUAUGCCCUCUAGUGUGGCAGAAUCUGUCUGGGUGGACAAUUCCCCAACUUCCUGA
rnacentral:lncRNA from 1 species